rnacentral:ncRNA from 1 species
ACUGUUUGCACCGAGCCUUUACCAAAUGAUUUUUCACCUAAAAUGAUGGCACGAUGAUGGUCUUGGAGUGCACCUGCCAAAAUUUCUGACGCAGAAGCCGACCCUUCAUUUAUAAGCACAACAAUUGGUAAUCCUUUAGCAAUAUCGCCUUCAGUUGCCAUAAAUUUAACCGUAUCACUUUCGUUACGAGAACGCGUAGAUACAAUUUCUCCUUUUUCUAAGAAUAAAUCAGAAACGGCAACUGCUUGGUCAAGAAGUCCACCGGGAUUAUUACGA